UACGAAGGGGGCUAGCGUUGCUCGGAAUCACUGGGCGUAAGGCGCACGUAGGCGGAUUGUUAAGUCAGGGGUGAAAUCCUGGAGCUCAACUCCAGAACUGCCUUUGAUACUGGCGAUCUUGAGUCCGGGAGAGGUGAGUGGAACUCCGAGUGUAGAGGUGAAAUUCGUAGAUAUUCGCAAGAACACCAGUGGCGAAGGCGGCUCACUGGCCCGGUACUGACGCUGAGGUGCGAAAGCGUGGGGAGCAAACAGG
rnacentral:rRNA from 1 species